AAAAAUGAAUUUAUUUCGCAAUCUUAUGUGACGUUAAGUGUAUGCGUACCGGAUAGUGAAUAUAAAAGCAGAAACAUUUUUUUGACAUUUAAACUGUUUGUAUAAUUUAUUUAAGUCGAGAUAUUUUUUCAAGUUGUGCAUAGGAGUUCGUUUCUUAGAAGAAAGUAAAGAUGGACAGAAAAGUAUUGGUAGCUUUUGUAUUUCUUGGACUCCUGGUUGCAAUCUCGAAUUGCGAAUGCCAACCAGAUUGUGAUAUUGGUCCACCAGGCCUACGAUCUGUUGAUUUGCGUGCAACAAAUCACAUCAAUAAGAUCAUCAAACGUGAAGAUGGACGCAUAAAAAGGGAUAUGAAAAAAAGAAACGAUUAAGAGAAAAGUUAUAGAUCCACGUGAACCUCUUCUUUCUAAAAUGAUUUUACUAUAGCUAAAUAAUGCCUUUGACGUAUACAAUCGUGAAAACAAUGGAUAACGUAACACUGAAGACCAUUGCUAAAUAAAUAUUUGUUUAUUUGGAAACUCUAGAAUCUUAUAUAUUAUUAAAUAAAAAAUAUACACUUCAAACUUUUUUGUACAUUUGCGUUAAUAUCACUGAAUAAAUAUGACCACUAGUA